UACAGAGGGUGCGAGCGUUGUUCGGAAUUAUUGGGCGUAAAGGGCGCGUAGGCGGUGCGGUAAGUCAGCUGUGAAAUCUCCUGGCUCAACUGGGAGCUUGCAGGCGAAACUGCCGUGCUGGAGUGUGGGAGAGGUGCGUGGAAUUCCUGGUGUAGCGGUGAAAUGCGUAGAUAUCAGGAGGAACACCAAUGGCGAAGGCAGCUCGCUGGGACGGUACUGACGCUGAGACGCGAAAGCGUGGGGAGCAAACAGG
rnacentral:rRNA from 1 species